rnacentral:rRNA from 1 species
GAUGAACGCUGGCGGCGUGCCUAAUACAUGCAAGUCGAGCGAACGGACGAGAAGCUUGCUUUUCUGAUGUUAGCGGCGGACGGGUGAGUAACACGUGUAUAACCUACCUAUAAGACUGGGAUAACUUCGGGAAACCGGAGCUAAUACCGGAUAAUCUUUUGAACCGCAUGGUUCAAAAGUGAAAGACGGUCUUGCUGUCACUUAUAGAUGGAUCCGCGCUGCAUUAGCUAGUUGGUAAGGUAACGGCUUACCAAGGCAACGAUGCAUAGCCGACCUGAGGGGGUGAUCGGCCACACUGGAGCUGGGACACGGACCAGACUCCUACGGGAGGCAGCAGUAGGGAAUCUUCCGCAGUGGUCGAAAGCCUUACGGAGCAACGCCGCGUGAGUGAUGAAGGUCUUCGGAUCGUAAUACUCUGUUAUGAGGGAAGAACAUAUGUGUAAGUAACUGUGCACAUCUUGACGGUACCUAAUCAGAAAGCCACGGCUAACUACGUG